GGCAGUAAAACGCUUGCCGAAGUGGGGCGUCCGUUUGGCUGUGCGGGAUGUAUCAAGUUCGCAGUCACGUCCGGUCAGAUUGGGGACGUUAAAUCCGAUGCCUCGUGUAAAAGAGAGUGCCACGCUCUUUGAACGUUAAGAACCCUUGCAACAACUCUUUGAUGGGUCCGUAGGUGGCCUGUUGCAAGGCAAAAUUUCUGUCCCUAUCCAAUAUACCCUCAUUUUCUAGUGGCAGUCCAAAUUUCCCCAAC
rnacentral:lncRNA from 1 species